AGGUGCUGUCUGGUCCUGCAGAGCAAGAGGAUAGGCGAAGGGUUUCUCUCUGGGAGAAGACUGGUCCCUCUUUUUCACAGUAUCUGCUGGAGAGUGAGGACAGAAGAUGGAUGAAGUCCCAUGCAGCCACAGGAAAGGCUGAUCACAAAAGGAGAAAGGUUCAUUAAGUACAAAAGAACAGCAGGGAAAGUCAAAAGGGAUAGAUGUAAGAAAUGAAACCAUUAAGGACUGAAACCAAGUAGCCUUCAUUCAGAAGAAAAGGAGUUUAGCCAGCUGACAAUCCCGGUUCGGUUCCUCCAUUUCAACAGAUGGGGGAUCCUGGAACCAAAAAUCAGCCUCCACCAACCCGGCACCCUACAAAGAGCGCAUCCACCACUCCCAUCAUGUCCAUGUGGCAUCGCUGUCUGGGGAUGAUGGUACCUGCAGUCCAAUCUCUGGAGAGCUCCCAGUUGAGGGAUGCUGCUGGCAUCUCCAUCCUGUUUGCAAUCUUCCCAGAGC